rnacentral:rRNA from 1 species
UACGUAGGGGGCUAGCGUUGCUCGGAAUCACUGGGCGUAAAGGGUGCGUAGGCGGGUCUUUAAGUCAGAGGUGAAAUCCUGGAGCUCAACUCCAGAACUGCCUUUGAUACUGAGGAUCUUGAGUUCGGGAGAGGUGAGUGGAACUGCGAGUGUAGAGGUGAAAUUCGUAGAUAUUCGCAAGAACACCAGUGGCGAAGGCGGCUCACUGGCCCGAUACUGACGCUGAGGCACGAAAGCGUGGGGAGCAAACAGG